AGGAGAGAUGGCUGAGUGGUUUAAAGCGGUAGAUUGCUAAUCUGUUGUAUAAUAUUUUUAUACCGAGGGUUCGAAUCCCUUUCUCUCCUU
rnacentral:tRNA from 1 species